GAUUGGUGGUGCAGGUAGAGAGAACAAUUGUUUUUAUUUCUUUUCACUCUCACUUACAAAAUGUCCCUAUCUACUAUCUAGCGAAACCACAGCCAAGGGAACGGGCUUGGAAAAAUCAUCGGGGAAAGAAGACCCUGUUGAGCUUGACUCUAGUCUGACUCUGUGAAGAGACAUGAGAGGUGUAGCAUAAGUGGGAGGCCGUGAACCCUCGCGGUUGUGUCGUGCCGUCAGUGAAAUACCACUACUUUCAUCGUUUCUUUACUUACUCGGUGAAGCGGAAAGCGGAUCAUGAGUGUCCACGCUUCUAGCACUAAGUGCAAGGCCCUUCGUUGGCCCGCACGAUCUGUUCCGAGGACAGUGUCAGGCGGGGAGUUUGACUGGGGCGGUACAUCUGUCAAAUGGUAACGCAGGUGUCCUAAGGCGAGCUCAGCGAGGACAGAAACCUCGCGUAGAGCAAAA
rnacentral:ncRNA from 1 species